rnacentral:tRNA from 1 species
GGGGAUGUAGCUCAAGUGGUAGUGCGCUCACCUGGCAUGUGAGGGGCACUGGGUUCAAUCCUCAGCAUCACAU